rnacentral:rRNA from 1 species
GCAAGUCGAACGAUGACUUCUGUGCUUGCACAGAAUGAUUAGUGGCGAACGGGUGAGUAACACGUGAGUAACCUGCCCUUGACUUCGGGAUAAGCCUGGGAAACCGGGUCUAAUACCGGAUACGACCUCCUGGCGCAUGCCAUGGGGGUGGAAAGCUUUAUGCGGUUUUGGAUGGACUCGCGGCCUAUCAGCUUGUUGGUUGGGGUAAUGGCCCACCAAGGCGACGACGGGUAGCCGGCCUGAGAGGGUGACCGGCCACACUGGGACUGAGACACGGCCCAGACUCCUACGGGAGGCAGCAGUGGGGAAUAUUGCACAAUGGGCGGAAGCCUGAUGCAGCGACGCCGCGUGAGGGAUGACGGCCUUCGGGUUGUAAACCUCUUUCAGCAGGGAAGAAGCGAAAGUGACGGUACCUGCAGAAGAAGCGCCGGCUAACUACGUGCCAGCAGCCGCGGUAAUACGUAGGGCGCAAGCGUUAUCCGGAAUUAUUGGGCGUAAAGAGCUCGUAGGCGGUUUGUCGCGUCUGCUGUGAAAGCCCGGGGCUCAACCCCGGGUCUGCAGUGGGUACGGGCAGACUAGAGUGAUGUAGGGGAGACUGGAAUUCCUGGUGUAGCGGUGAAAUGCGCAGAUAUCAGGAGGAACACCGAUGGCGAAGGCAGGUCUCUGGGCAUUAACUGACGCUGAGGAGCGAAAGCAUGGGGAGCGAACAGGAUUAGAUACCCUGGUAGUCCAUGCCGUAA